UGCUCGUGCUUCUCCUUCAGCCUUCUGCGUACCGAAGCUUGUGAUGCGUUGUUGUUGUGAUGCAGAUUGUUUAACAAAUUGGAUGUUGAUCACUUUCUGAAGCAGGUUCAAGAAUCGUUUGCGAUUGUGGCGAUGCCGUUUCGUGAAGCAAGUGAAGAUUGACGAUGGAGUUGCUUCGUGACUGCUGCAACUAUGAAUCGCGAUGGUCGAAGAUGCAGAUAAGGAGAAGAUGAUGAACGAGUUGCAGAAGAGAAGGAAAAAAUGAAGAUUUUGGUGAAGCUUCAAUUAUGGAGGAAGUGAAGAUGGUUUUGAAGAUGGUGAAUGAAGUGGCUCUGAAUUGAAGAUGGUGAAAAAUGGUUGAGAGGGAAGCGAUGAAGAAGAUUGAAGAUGGAAAAUGGAGAGAUGAAUGGCGUCGAAGAUGAUGAAAUGAUGGAGAAGGUUAGAGAAAGAGAUGAAGAAUGGGAGAGGAGCUUCUGAAUUGGAGGGAAGUCUGAUUUAUAGGAGUUGAAGGAGGUUGGAGAGUUGGUUGUGGAUGCAUCUCAGCCUUUGAUUGAAGAAGUUUGUUAUACAAUAGAUGGAGAAGAUUGAACCUGGUAGAGAGGUUAUUAACAACUGAAGAGAGUGGCUGUGGGUUUGCAAACUAUCUUGAACUGGUUUAUUGAAACGGGUUGGAACCGGCAGAUUUACGGUUACGAAGCGAAGUUGAACUUGACUUGAGGAGCAAGAGUGAUGGGAGGUGGUGAAGCUGGAGACUUGGAAACA